UAUUUCAUGUGGUAACAUAGAAAAUGGGAGGGUAAAGCCAAGUUUCUUCUUCCAGAGAAGAAAAAGAACAUUUGAAUGUAAUGCCGGGUAUAUAGCAGAAAAUGACAACAACAGAAUUGAGUGUACUUCUUCAGGAUGGUCUCCUAUACCCAGAUGCAUUCCAAUACAAUGUGGAAGGGUAGAAAAUGGGAAAAUAGUGGACAAACUUGAAAAAAAAAAAAACCUUUCGAUGUAAUCAUGGAUAUAAAUCUGAAAAUGGAAUUAAUGAAACUACCUGUACCUCUGAAGGCUGGUCUCCAGUACCUAUAUGUAUUGUUCAAGAGUGUCCACAUCCACCUGACAUCGAUUUGGCAGAAAUUGUCAGUGGGGAGAAAGCAGAAUAUCAGGAGGGUGAUGUUGUUCAGUACAGGUGCUACCCAGGAUGUACUCUGGCAGGAUCUGAAAGGAUAACAUGCAAUGGAGAAAAAUGGACACCUCCACCAAAGU